CCUACGGGUGGCAGCAGUAGGGAAUAUUGCUCAAUGGGGGAAACCCUGAAGCAGCAACGCCGCGUGGAGGAUGAAGGUUCUAGGAUUGUAAACCCCCUUUGUUAGAGAAGAUAAUGACGGUAGCUAACGAAUAAGCACCGGCUAACUCCGUGCCAGCCGCCGCGGUAAUAUGGAGGGGGCAAGCGUUACUCGGAAUCACUGGGCGUUAAGAGCGCGUAGGCGGGAUAGAAAGUCAGAUGUGAAAUCCAAUGGCUUAACCUUAGAACUGCAGUGGAAACUGUUAUUCUAGAGUAUGGGAGAGGUAGGUGGAAUUCUUGGUGUAGGGGUGAAAUGCGUAGAGAUCAAGAGGAAUACUCAUUGCGAAGGCAGCCUACUAGAACAUAACUGACGCUGAUGCGCGAAAGCGUGGGGAGCAAACAGGAUUAGAUACCCCUGUAGUC
rnacentral:rRNA from 1 species